AAUUCUUCACUCUGAGGGCAGUGAGGCAUUGGCAUAGGCUGCCCAGAGAAGCUGUGCCUCAUCCCUGGAGAUGCUCAAGGCCAGGUUGGAUGGAGCCCUGGACUGCCUGAUCUGGUGGAUAGCAACGAGCCCUUGACAGGUCCACCUGGAAUCUGAGCCUUUAUGAGAAUGUCCUGUUUUGUACAAAUAACCACCAGAAGCCCAAUCAAGCCCAUCUUUAAAUUGGACUUCUGUGAAUAAUGGUCUUAUUGUUAAAUCAAGGAACAAAUGACUAGUUAAUAUCAUUAACUAGGGAAAAAAUAGCCUCAGUUCUUCUUAGAGUUACAGUGGUUGAAUGUGGGAACUGUGGACAGACCAGCCAUCGCUAUUUCACCUAAGAGUUGUCGUGGUGGAGUUUGGAACCCUGUCACGCUGGUGUAUGUACAAACAUGCGGUCUCCCAUCCCGAGGAGGAUCAAAAGAUCUCCACGACUUCAAGAGGAGAGACGGUUCUUUCUCUUAAUUUACAUACAUGAAACCAAGAACAAGAGGAAAGAAUGGAGACCGUGCAGCAGCUGAGUUUCUCAUCUGCAAGAGGCUGGCUUUGGCCAGAGGAAAUGACAGAGAAUGGGGCAGAGGUAUCCAGUGUGUAGAAGACUUUGCUUGACAUUCAGCCUUUCAACUGAUUCUGAAGACAGUCCCAGCAAAACCACCCAACAGCUGUACGAUCUCACUGCACUCACUUGUUUAAAAAGAGAUACUGAAAGAUACUCAAAGAAAUCAACUCACCUGAUACACCAUGGGAAGAGAUUUGAGUAUAGCCCCAAAACUUGUGGUCUGAACAUCAGUUAACAGCUAUGCUUCUUAUGGUAAGUUGUUUUUAGACCAAGAGCACUUGAGAGAUGUGCAGAGAAAAUUAAGAUUGCAUAUUGAUGGAAAAAAUGUAAAAUGCUCUGAAAUAUAGGAGAUAGGGUGAUGGAGACUGACCCCAGUCACCUAUUAUUUGUGUAAUUUUAAUUACUCUCCCUUUAAUUUAAGCAGCUGACACACACCUUCAGUGGUGUUCAGAAAGUUAAUAGGGCAGCUGAGUAAGGAUUUUAAGGUCAUAUUCUUGUCCUUUGGUGCUUAUUUUAUUUAUUAGCUGCUGCAUUAAUAUUCUUAUGAUUACAGAAAUGAUCAUUUAUGUAUAUAAUGCAUCUUAUGAUAGUAUACAUUGAUGAAUAUUAUGUUUAUUUCUGAAUAUGUCUUCUUGAUAUUUUAGUAGUAAAUUCACAGAAAUGUAACAGCAUUUGUAUCAAGUUUCUUCCUUCUUUACAUUAUUUUUUAAUUAUGGUAUGUAGUCAUCAGUUUGCUGACAAUAAUUUUCCCAAAUGUCACUCUUUGAUUCCACCCUUCCCAACUGAAAUUAAAAUAUUGACAGAAAUCAUUUAGCAUGAGCAGUGAAAAAAUUCAAAGAGGCAUUUAAAGUAGAGGAAGUUCUACAUGUAUCCCUUCUAUAUAUGUACAUUUGUGACUCAUUUCCAGUUACAUAAAGAGUAAUGUGUGUAAAAUUAGUGUGCUGUCUCAUGUUUGUCUUGCAUGUAGAUAAGGGAUGACAUUUAAUUGAAGUUAUUUUUUUUAAAUCAAACAAACUACUAUUUGCAAUAUAAAAAUAGAGAGAACCUAAUGUUUCUGAUAUGUUCAGUGGAGUUGAAGGGGAACUGGUAGAUUACCAGUGUGAAUGGAGUUUGGCUUGUUUCUUUCUUAAAUCUUUUACCCAAUUUAUACACCCUCAUGCCUAUGUAUCUCUGUCUUUGUUGAUCAGCACUGUGCAGGAAGGGAAAGCAAACACAGCUCAUGGAACUGGCUGAGGUUCUGCAGCAUGCAGCAGUAGCUCUCAAAAAUAAAGGUGCUCCAAGCACAUGGUUAUCCAGUUGCUGAGGACAGAAGAGAUAAUGGUGGUGUGGACAUGGUGUCAUUCUGUGACCAUCCAGCCAAACUCUCAGUAGGGAUAGAGGGAGCAUCCAAGGUGCUGCCUGUGGUCCAUCUCCCACUACUCCCAUGGGUGCACAACUUGGGAAGGAGAAGGAGAAACUCCCUGCUCCCAUCACUCAGGUGGAGAGGUGACUUUGGACAAUGCUUUGCAACUGUAGUUGAAGGCAAUGAGUACACUAAUGAGGAGAGUCAGAAAAAUUAUUGCUGAAUGGAUAACUGUUAAAAUAUUUCUCAUAAUUCUUUGUGUGUUUUCAUGAAUACUUUUUUUUUCUUCAUUGGCACAUUUUAUUGCUUUUCUGUUUAGAGGUUACCUUAUGGUGGACCUUUAGUAUCCCUUAGGCUUUACAAACAAGACUGUGUAUCAACAGCUUAUGUGAUAUAGUGACACACGUCAGUAAGUAUUCUCUGUUUUAAAUUCAUUGCAGUGAAUGGAUCUCAUAAUGUUAACAAAUCUUUUUACAUAUCAUCCUGAAAUGUCUAUUCGACUUAAAAAGCAUGGUUUAGACACUGAGCAAUGGGUAAUGAGAUCAUAGCCAGCAUUAUAAUUUGAAGAAUUAUAGAGUUUUAAGGGGGAAUGUGUUUUCCUGCUGUCAAUAUAUGUUGUAAAUCCUAAAUCAGACAAUGCUGCAGUGAUAUCAAGGCACAACAAUCUAAAGGUGUGUAGCGGAAAUGCUAAGUCAUGGCCUGAACCAGUGACUGGGCACCUGGUGGGAAGGCAGGGCCUACCCAGGGGAGCUUAGGUGCAUGCAAUGAAUCUGAGUGACUGGAAGGGGUAGAGCCAGGAUCCACCCCUUCACAGACCUCAUUUAAGGGUUGACAGUGGAGGUGAGGGCAUCUUCCCUGCCCACCUGCGGCCUUCUAAAGGGCCCUAGUCUGAUGUGCCUUCUGUUGGCCCAAACUCGGUGGAAGACUUGGGUUCACCUACAGAGAGAGACCACAUGCUUAGGCACUACCUUGGAUCUCCUUCAGACUCCUUUUCCCCAGAAAACAGCUAACUUCAAAGCUGGUGGAGCGGUCAUGGGUGAAGCAGACCAGUGAAAUGUCAAUACUUUGAGUACCAUACAGUCCUGAGUGGAUGGACUGAGAAUGUAAGCCUCAGCUUUGCUGGGAGAUGUCCAUGGAGUAUAUCUCGACACCUGGUUGAAAAAUACAUGGCAGCUGGGGACAUACAGUAAAUGAGAAAAUUGACAAGAACUUUUCAGCUGUGGAUAAAUACUACUUCGACAGUGUUUUCAACAUAAUCCUUAUAUAUAAGUCUUUCAUGUGAGAGAAAAUGGACAGAGAUGAAAACCCACGUCUGAUCUGACGCUUUGGCAAGCUGUGUUUUCUUACACCCACAGGAGAUGAAGAGUUCUGGCCUUUUAGAAUAGUGGACAAAGAUGACCAAGGCCAAAACCCACUGACCCUGGGCAGGACAGCAGCAUGGUGUGAAGUGAAGAGCAGGAGAGUUUCACAGGAUAAGCAAUGGCCAAAUGAAGUUUUUCUUUUACCUGACAGCUGCAUCUCUUUGAACUGUGGCAAUGCAGAGCAGAGCAGUUCUUCCAGCAGAGGCUACAGGAACUCUGCUACGUGGGACUUUAACAGUGAGGGAAUAUGUAGCAGUGGAAUAAGGUGAAAGGUCUGUCAAAGUAGACAGGAGUAAAGGAUUCUAUCUUGCAAGUAAAUGAAACCAGCAUACGUCUUGAUGAAGUAUCAUUUGUACAGGAUGAAGACAGCAGUUGGGGUAAACAAAAAAAAAAAAGAGGCUUUCUUCUUCACAUAUAAAUUUUCCAUAAUGAAAACAAAUCCUGAGUUUAACCUUGCCUGUGAUUUCAAAACACUUAGUUUAUGAUUUACCUCUAUUUUCUUGGACUUCCACAGUCUAGACAAGUCUCCACAAUUAAAAAUUCACCCCAACAGUUUUCUUCACUGAUUCUCAGUCAUUUCUGCAGAGUACGUGCUGUCUUCUCAAACCUGAAAAGACAACCCAAAGCUUCAGAGCUCUGUCCAUGCAUCAAUACUUGCAAACUGUGCUCAAUGAACUUGAUGCUUUUUUAAAAUUUGUAGUUAUCAUAGUCGAAUUAGUUAUUAAAAUGGACAUACUUUGCAAGGAAAAAUAACAGCCAUUGUAUUUCUGCACAUCUAGUACAUGGAUACUGCUUUCUUCUUUCUUGAAGUUUGAAGAAGACACAUGACUUUAAUGUCACUAAAGCUUGUGUCAUAAUCAUCAAAUAGAGCUGGUGUCAGGUAAACCAGAUGGAACUUUCAACCAAUAAAUUGUAUUUAUUUUUGAUAUUAAUGACUUAUUUGUCAUCCAUGCAACUUGUAAUAGGAUAAGGUAAGAAUAAAGAUUUUUUUCUGAGGGGGGAGGGGGAAAAAGAGACCUAUUAGGAGCAUAUGUGUUAUUAUUUGACCAAACAGCACAAACAGAUGACUUGCAAAAAGUACAAGACCUGUCUCCAGCUGGGAUCUGCCUGAUGGUUCCUACAGAGCUCAAGAGGGACUGAAGGGUUAGUUCACUCACACUGUGAAAAAUUUCAGAGCGUUUCUACUUAUCUGUGUGCAUAUUACAUUAAUUAACUAUGCUUUGUUACAUUACAGACUAUACUAGCAUCUUUCACUUCUCUCUUACUUCGUAAGAAUACAUAGAGAAGCUUUGUCUAUCUUAGACAAAUUGUUUUACAUACAUGUUUGUAUACACUGCAUAAUAUCAUUCCUUUAGUAAGAAGGAAAAAAAAAUAAAAAGGAAUUUCAUAAGUAA